GUGUCCCCUAGGGUUCCUCCAACCACUUCAGUGGGGUUUCUCUCUCUAGCUUGUUUGGGUUGAAUGUAUCAAUGCAUCUAAUUCCUCUCUACUGAAGUGUUUGGGGGAACUCCAGGUGCCAC
rnacentral:pre_miRNA from 1 species